rnacentral:tRNA from 1 species
GGAGGGGUGGCCGAGCGGACUAAGGCGAGGGACUUGAAAUCCCUUGAGGGUUGAAAAACCCUCCGCGGGUUCGAAUCCCGCCCCCUCCG